CUUACAAUCAUUCAGAGCCCUAUGAUUUAUCAGGGUGAUGGACUGCCUUUUGCAUAAUGAGCCUGCGAGUUGUGGUGUCUGGCAAGGUUAAGGAAACCCGGAGCCGUAGCGAAAGCGAGUCUUAAUAGGGCGUUUAGUCAGAUGCUGCAGACCCGAAACGAUGUGAUCUAUCCAUGAGCAGGUUGAAGCCGGUGUAAGAGCCGGUGGAGGACCGAACCCGCUAGCGUUGAAAAGCUAUGGGAUGACUUGUGGAUAGGGGUGAAAGGCCAAUCAAACAUCGUGAUAGCUGGUUCUCUCCGAAAUAUAUUUAGGUAUAGCGUCAUGUAGUAACACUAGGGGGUAGAGCACUGAAUGGGCUAGGGCAUACACCAAUGUACCAAACCCUAUCAAACUCCGAAUACCUAGUGUGUAAUCAUGGCAGUCAGGCGGCGAGUGAUAAAAUCCGUCGUCGAGAGGGGAACAACCCAGACUAACAGCUAAGGUCCCUAAAUCUCAUUUAAGUGGAAAACGAUGUGGAGUUACUUAAACAACCAGGAGGUUGGCUUAGAAGCAGCCAUCCUUUAAAGAAAGCGUAAUAGCUCACUGGUCUAGUGAUUCUGCGCGGAAAAUAUAACGGGGCUAAAAUGAGUACCGAAGCUUUAGACUUAGUUUUACUAAGUGGUAGGAGAGCGUUGUAUUUGCGUUGAAGGUAUACCGGUAAGGAGUGCUGGAGCGAAUACAAGUGAGCAUGCAGGCAUGAGUAGCGAUAAUUGGGGUGAGAAUCCCCAACGCCGUAAACCCAAGGUUUCCUACGCGAUGCUCGUCAUCGUAGGGUUAGCCGGGUCCUAAGCAAAGUCCGAAAGGGGUAUGCGAUGGAAAAUUGGUUAAUAUUCCAAUGCCAACUAUAAUGUGCGAUGGAAGGACGCUUAGAGUUAGAGGAGCCAGCGGAUGGUAGUGCUGGUCGAAAGGUGCAGGUUGGAGUUCAGGCAAAUCCGAACUCCUUUAAGCCGAGGCCUUACAGGUGCGUGAAGUUCUUCGGAAUGAAUCGUAAAUCCUUGAUACUGUCGAGCCAAGAAAAGUUUCUAAGUUUAGUUAUAGUUGCCCGUACCGUAAACCGACACAGGUGGGUGGGAUGAGUAUUCUAAGGCGCGUGGAAGAACUCUCUUCAAGGAACUCUGCAAAAUAGCACCGUAUCUUCGGUAUAAGGUGUGCCUAACUUUGUGAAGGAUUUACUCCGUAAGCAUUGAAGGUUACAACAAAGAGUCCCUCCCGACUGUUUACCAAAAACACAGCACUCUGCUAACUCGUAAGAGGAUGUAUAGGGUGUGACGCCUGCCCGGUGCUCGAAGGUUAAUUGAUGACGUUAGCUCUGCGAAGCGUUUGAUCGAAGCCCGAGUAAACGGCGGCCGUAACUAUAACGGUCCUAAGGUAGCGAAAUUCCUUGUCGAUUAAAUAUCGACCUGCAUGAAUGGCGUAACGAGAUGGGAGCUGUCUCGAAGAGGGAUCCAGUGAAAUUGUAGUGGAGGUGAAAAUUCCUCCUACCCGCGGCAAGACGGAAAGACCCCGUGGACCUUUACUACAGCUUGACACUGCUAUUGGGAUAAAAAUGUGCAGGAUAGGCGGGAGGCUUUGAUCCAUAGACGCCAGUUUAUGGUGAGCCAUUGUUGAGAUACCGCUCUUUUUUAUUCUGAUAGCUAACUAGCUUGAGUUAUCCUCAAGUAGGACAAUGUCUGGUGGGUAGUUUGACUGGGGCGGUCGCCUCCCAAAAUGUAACGGAGGCUUACAAAGGUUGGCUCAGAACGGUUGGAAAUCGUUCGUAGAGUAUAAAGGCAUAAGCCAGCUUAACUGCGAGACAUACACGUCAAGCAGAGACGAAAGUCGGUCUUAGUGAUCCGGUGGUUCUGUGUGGAAGGGCCAUCGCUCAAAGGAUAAAAGGUACCCCGGGGAUAACAGGCUGAUCUCCCCCAAGAGCUCACAUCGACGGGGAGGUUUGGCACCUCGAUGUCGGCUCAUCGCAUCCUGGGGCUGAAGUCGGUCCCAAGGGUUGGGCUGUUCGCCCAUUAAAGCGGUACGCGAGCUGGGUUCAGAACGUCGUGAGACAGUUCGGUCCCUAUCUGCCGUGGGCGCAAGAAGAUUGAGGAGAGUUGA
rnacentral:rRNA from 1 species